UACGAAGGGGGCUAGCGUUGUUCGGAAUCACUGGGCGUAAAGGGCGCGUAGGCGGCUAUGCAAGUCAGGCGUGAAAGCCCCGGGCUCAACCCGGGAAUUGCGCUUGAUACUGUGUGGCUCGAGUCCGGGAGAGGAUGGCGGAAUUCCCAGUGUAGAGGUGAAAUUCGUAGAUAUUGGGAAGAACACCGGUGGCGAAGGCGGCCAUCUGGACCGGUACUGACGCUGAGGCGCGAAAGCGUGGGGAGCAAACAGG
rnacentral:rRNA from 1 species